UACGGAGGGGGCUAGCGUUGUUCGGAAUUACUGGGCGUAAAGCGCACGUAGGCGGCUUUGUAAGUUAGAGGUGAAAGCCCAGGGCUUAACCCUGGAAUUGCCUUUAAGACUGCAUCGCUAGAAUUGUGGAGAGGUAAGUGGAAUUCCGAGUGCAGAGGUGAAAUUCGUAGAUAUUCGGAAGAACACCAGUGGCGAAGGCGACUUACUGGACACAUAUUGACGCUGAGGUGCGAAAGCGUGGGGAGCAAACAGG
rnacentral:rRNA from 1 species